GUAAGGAGCCCUGCAAAUGCUAAUUUAGAACACAGAUCACCACAAAAGCCAGUGCCUCAGGAGAAGCAUGAAUUGAUUUUUGCAUGAACCUGAGUCAAUCUAAAUUGACAGAGGAAACCGCUUCUGCACAUCCUGACUUCUGACUCACAGGUCCUUCCAUCAUGAUGGCCACACUGCCUUGUUAGACAAUUCAAGUCAUUUGUUGUGGUUACUGGUGACACUUGUGUUACUCUUACCCUCCUCUUUCAACUGAUCUCCACAGAGCAGAAGGAAUGUCAAAGGACCCAUUUGAUCCUAAAGGAUUCUGCCAUUCCUUCCUACUAAAAUAAAGGUCCUUUGUGUCCUUUGAGAAUCUGAGGAAAUUGGAAAUAGAGGGGUUCAGAGAAAGAUAGUGGAGACUCUGAACAAAACAACAUUCUUGAGGUGGAGAAGACAAACCCAGGAGGGACUGAAUGAUUAAUGCAAUGCCAAUGCCAUGGACUUGAGCGCCUCCCUGAAGUACUUGCAGGACCACUCUUGCAAGGAAGGAAAGAGAUCGAUGAAGGAAGAAUACUCGCACAUGCAACAGGAACUGAAAAAAGCUUUAGAGGGCAAAUUGUUGAAAUGUUAAAAAAGCAAAGAAGAAUAAAAUUCACAUAUUAAGUGAACACAAGGUAUCUGUCAUCAAACAUUGAUUUUGCAUAUAAGCAUCAAAAAGGACUGGUCAAAAAGCAAAGGUAGUUAAAUGAGGCCAACAGAGCAAAGCCAAAUAACUGAGGUGAAAUAAUCUUGAUAUAUUGUUGAUGGAAAAUCAGAAAACAUUUGAAGCAAUAGUUGAAUAAUGACAGGUCUGUAUACACAAGCUAAUGAAAUUAUCUUCAUAGAAACUUUAUGCACAUCCAAAAAAGUCUCUGCUUUUACCCUUGAAUCAAUAAAUAAGACUGUGUGACAACAGCACAUUUGUGAAGGUUAUAGGUGGUGUUAAUGAAGUUAGGGCACAAUGGGACUUCUGAGGCUCUCAUCCUCAAUGAAAAAGGGCUUUGAAAUAGGAGAAAUGAAGCAUCAUCUGUUCAUAUUCAGUCCUCAAUGAGGACAGCAAAAUCAGCAAUGACCAGCACUGAUCUGACAGGCCAGCUCCUAGCAUUUCUAUCACAUGUAGCUGCAGCUGUAUGAGAUGAGACCUUUUCAGGUAAGUCCCAAUGCCUGCUGUUUCUCUUAGGCUUGAAAUUAGUAUUAUUAUUACAAGUUUCCUAAAGAGUAUCCUCCACAGCGUUUUAUGAUUAUGUGCAAUGCUUAAACAAUUGCUACUUCUUGCCCUCAAAAGGCACACAUCUCUUGAAGCUAAAGACAGAAAUUCACAUAAUAGAUUUUUCAAUGAUCAUUAGUAAAUGUCACUACAGAAAAGUGUACAUAAUCAUAAUUAAUUGAAAGAAGUAAAAAUGUAAAUCAAUUUUAAUAUUUAUGGUAAAAGUAGUCAAUUUUAACUUUGAGCUACCUACCAACUUGCAAGGGUACACAGUUAUAAGGAUACUUGUAUGAAGAUAACAUCUGCCUAUUGUGAGAAGACAGAGGGUGGGAUCUAAUCUAACAUUAAUGCAAGAUAUUGCAAGAAAAAGUAGUGUUUUGUAGCAGAUGUACUGUGUCUAUCUGCUGUCCAUGCCCACUUUAUGAUUCUUAGUGAUUGAGGAUAUCAGAGUUUUCCUAGAGAAUCAGGGAAGAUGAUUUGGCCUUCAACAAUCAUCCCCAGGACAACACACUCAAGAUGGACACAUAAAAGAAAUUAAAUCACUUUGAAAUCUUACUGGAUGUGGGGCAGAGGGUGUAUCUCUGAAAGAUAAGAAAUCUUACUGAGAAGGAGAGCUUUUAGGUGCCUGGGUGUGAUAGCAGAUACUGGCUGAAUGCUAUGAAGAAACAGGUUUUAGGGCUAUGGUAUUUUCAUAAUUGAUUCCACAACUUUCCAUAAACAUUCAUGAGAUACUUUCUUCUUUUGUACACUCAUUCUCUUUUCCUUCUAUGGGCUUUUACAUGGAAGUAAAAAGGAAGCUAUAGCUUUCAUGUUUGAGGUAUUCCUUUACCACAUAAAACACUUGAGGCAAGUUCUUGAAAGAGAAACAAAAUUUUACCCACAGUUAGGGAAGCUGUAAGCUUAAAUGAAGUAGGUUUUGGUAAAUGCCCCAUGAUAGAUGGCAGAGUACCUGCAGGGGACACAUGGUGAGCCAAGAAGCAGAGAAGUUGAGCCCAAAGUCAGGCUUUCAUAACAAUCCUCUCACAAGAAUUACCAUCUAAGGGUAUGCCUCCAAUUCCCUAAGAAUCUCCCACUAAGACCCAUCUCCUAAUAUUUUCACCAUCCCUCUUUAGUGUCAACUUGGGAACCAUUCCUUUAACAUGAGACUUGGGGGGACAUUUAAUAUUAAAACCAUCACACAUACAUAAUUCUUGGUGCAGUGGUUAGGCAUAUCAUGGUUUUGAAUGCCGUCAGUUAGGUGCUUUGAGUCAGGAGGGUAUCAUGUUCAGGUGGAAUCGGUGAAAGUCCAUUCUCCAGUUUGGAGUUGGAUAGGUUUGGAGAUUGGGAAAAGAGGGAAUACAAAGAACAAAACAAUCCUUUGGGAAACAAAUGAAAAAAACAGUGACUUUGUGAAUAUUCUCUCUUCAGGAGAGCAGCUUCUACUUCUAGAGCUAUAAGCUGAUCUAGAGAUUCAAAAAUUAGAAAUGCAAGCACUUAAGCAACUAUUGUAUGAGGCAGUUGAGCCAAAAGCAGGAUUGAGGGACAUGGCAGGAAAACACAGAAAGCCAACAGAAACAAUGUACAAGAAAGCAGAAACCAUGCUUGCAAAUUACAGGGGCCUAAUGCAUUUCAGGUUUUCAUAAGUGUGUUA